UCGCCUGUUUUACAAAAACAUAGCCCAAAGAUUUAUUUUAGGUAAAUUCUGCCCAGCGUAAUUUAUUAGCGGCCGCAGUACUUUGACUGUGCUAAGGUAGCAUAAUCAAUUGGCUUUUAAUUGUAGUCUGGAAUGAAAGGACUAAUAGGGGUUAGCUGUCUCUAUACUAUUAUUUUGAAUUUAUUUAUUAAGUGAAAAUACUUAUACAAAGAAAAAAGACGAGAAGACCCUUAGAAUUUUAAUAAAAUAUUUAAUAAUUUUUUUUUGUUGGGGCGACAUUGAAACAAUUAAACUUUCAUUGACAAUCAAGACAUUUAGGUUUGAAAGAGUAAAUUACCUUAGGGAUAACAGCAUAAUUAAUUAUUUAGUUUGUGACCUCGAUGUUGGACUAGGAACUAGAAGAUUAACCGUCUAAAUAGAUGUCGU
rnacentral:rRNA from 1 species